GAUGAACGCUAGCGGCAGGCUUAACACAUGCAAGUCGAGGGGUAUGCCGAUUUAUCGGCAGAGACCGGCGCACGGGUGCGUAACGCGUAUGCAAUCUACCUUUCACAGAGGGAUAGCCCAGAGAAAUUUGGAUUAAUACCUCAUAGUAUAGCGGUUUCGCAUGAAACCACUAUUAAAGUUCCAACGGUGAAAGAUGAGCAUGCGUCCCAUUAGCUAGAUGGUAAGGUAACGGCUUACCAUGGCUACGAUGGU
rnacentral:rRNA from 1 species